GCAACUCGCCUGCAUGAAGUCGGAAUUGCUAGUAAUCGCGGAUCAGCAUGCCGCGGUGAAUACGUUCUCGGGCCUUGUACACACCGCCCGUCACACCAUGGGAGUCGGUAACACCCGAAGUCUGUAGCCUGACGCAAGAGGGCGCAGCCGAAGGUGGGAUUGAUGACUGGGGUGAAGUCGUAACAAGGUAAC
rnacentral:rRNA from 1 species